GGGGAAUUUUCCGCAAUGGGCGAAAGCCUGACGGAGCAAUACCGCGUGAGGGAGGAAGGCUCUUGGGUUGUAAACCUCAGAACUUAGGGAAGAAAAAAAUGACGGUACCUAAUAUAAGCAUCGGCUAACUCCGUGCCAGCAGCCGCGGUAAUACGGGGGAUGCAAGCGUUAUCCGGAAUCAUUGGGCGUAAAGCGUCCGUAGGUGGCAAUUCAAGUCUGCUGUCAAAGACCGAAGCUCAACUUCGGGAAGGCGGUGGAAACUGAAGAGCUAGAGUGUAGUAGGGGUAGGGGGAAUUCCUAGUGUAGCGGUGAAAUGCGUAGAGAUUAGGAAGAACACCAGUGGCGAAGGCGCUCUACUGGGCAUAUACUGACACUGAGGGACGAAAGCUAGGGUAGCGAAAGGGAUUAGAUACCCCUGUAGUCCUAGCGGUAAACGAUGGAUACUAAGUGUUGUCUGUAUCGACCCAGACAGUGCUGAAGCAAACGCGUUAAGUAUCCCGCCUGGGGAGUACGCACGCAAGUGUGAAACUCAAAGGAAUUGACGGGGACCCGCACAAGCGGUGGAGUAUGUGGUUUAAUUCGAUGCAACGCGAAGAACCUUACCAAGGCUUGACAUCCUGCGAAUCUUCUGGAAACAGGAGAGUGCCUUAGGGAACGCAGAGACAGGUGGUGCAUGGCUGUCGUCAGCUCGUGUCGUGAGAUGUUGGGUUAAGUCCCGCAACGAGCGCAACCCUCGUCCUUAGUUGCCAGCAUUAAGUUGGGGACUCUAGGGAGACCGCCGGGGAGAACUCGGAGGAAGGUGGGGAUGACGUCAAGUCAGCAUGCCCCUUACGUCUUGGGCUACACACGUACUACAAUGGUUGAGACAAAGGGAAGCGAAACUGCGAAGUGAAGCGAAUCCCGUCAAACUCAGCCUCAGUUCAGAUUGCAGGCUGAAACUCGCCUGCAUGAAGGAGGAAUCGCUAGUAAUUGCAGGUC
rnacentral:rRNA from 1 species